AGCGUUGCUCGGAAUUACUGGGCGUAAAGGGCGCGUAGGCGGCCUGUUAAGUCGAACGUGAAAUCCCCGGGCUCAACCCGGGAACUGCGUCCGAUACUGGCAGGCUUGAAUCCGGGAGAGGGAUGCGGAAUUCCUGGUGUAGCGGUGAAAUGCGCAGAUAUCAGGAGGAACACCGGUGGCGAAGGCGGGUCUCUGGGCCGAAACUGACGCUGAGGAGCGAAAGCGUGGGGAGCAAACAGG
rnacentral:rRNA from 1 species